UACGUAGGGUGCGAGCGUUGUCCGGAAUUAUUGGGCGUAAAGAGCUCGUAGGCGGCUUGUCACGUCGGGUGUGAAAGACCGGGGCUUAACCCCGGUUCUGCAUUCGAUACGGGCAGACUAGAGUUCGGCAGGGGAGACUGGAAUUCCUGGUGUAGCGGUGAAAUGCGCAGAUAUCAGGAGGAACACCGGUGGCGAAGGCGGGUCUCUGGGCCGAUACUGACGCUGAGGAGCGAAAGCGUGGGGAGCGAACAGG
rnacentral:rRNA from 1 species